rfam:Schistosoma rodhaini strain Burundi genome assembly, scaffold: SROB_scaffold0011153
AUCCAGCUGAAGAGUUCCAAAUGCAACGAAACGCGCGUCUUGGAU